AGUUAUGCUUUCAUAUAUGACAAUGAGAAUAUUGUGUCUCGUUUCUAGAAUUAGUGUAGGGAUGUAAUCAUCUGCUGGGGAAAUUGUGGUUCUCGGGGAAAGCAAGUCUUUUCCCCCUUUGGGCAGUGGUUUAGCUUCCUUCAUGCACAUCCUGUUACAUAAUUCCAGUCCUGUGAAUCAACAUUCUUGCUAGUGAUGUCUAUAUGUGGAGAGAAAAGUAUAUUUCCCAAUGUUUAUUGCUCGUAACAAGGAACUUUAACCGAGCCCAGACAAUCAGCACGUAAAAGAUUAUUUAUUUAUUAUUUAUUUGUUUUUGCAGGUAUCGGAAGAAGAAAAAAAUGGUGAUCGAAUUAGAAGCAGGAAAUACCUUAACGAAUGCCAAGAAACCCAACACUUCGGACCUCGCUCCUCAGGAUGUGAAUGGCGUCCCUCCCAAACCAAGAACCACCCAUGAAUCCAUGGAUGGAGAUCCCGGAGACCCUGAAGAAAUCCAUUAUGCGACUCUUUCCUUCAAAGCGCCAAAUCCUCAGCCAGAUAUAACUGCAGAAGAAGUCCAGACGGAUUAUGCUGAAAUCAGACCUUGCAAUUUGCAGGGGAAAGAAGCAUGAAGGUUUUAAGGGAAUUCCUCUUUUUCUGGAUUAGCAGCCGAGUCCUGGGAAGUUGCCAGCUCCUGUUUAGACUCCAGCACCUUCUCUUGACUCUCUUUCUGUAUCCUCUUUGGAGAGAGGAACUGCCUAUCCAGCGGUUAAGCCCCGAAACAGCACAGCAGGACCAGGGAAGCAAAACUUCCAAACUUGGAAUUUCAUCAAGCAAGUUUAAUAUCAAGAAAUAAAGGGCUGAGAUAAUGACUCUAGUAAAACUGAAUGCAUAAAACUGAAUGCAUAAAACUAUUCCGCAUUUAUGAAUGGGGUCCUUGAGAGUUUCUUAGAUCCUUCCCCGCUCCCCAACAAUGCAAAAUUGAAAGGUUAAAUGCUCCCCCCCACCAGAGUGUCAGGUUUCGAUGUCAUCUCAAAUAAAUUGCACUCCCAAACAAUUAAUCUUUGCUGAAAUAUUCCAUUUAUUGAGUACGACAGAUCUGGCCCCGACUUUGUCGUAGCUGAUACUAACCCUCUGACCCCCAAACCCUUCCCUUUCCAUUCCCCAAUUCUCAUCUUCUCAUUGGCCAUCUUCCAAAUCAGUCUCCCCAGUUUCUGACCUCAAUCCACAGGAAUGUCCCCCUCCCAUCCCAUCUCCUAGGGGAUAUUAUCUACAGAGAAAAUAAGUAGGUGAAAAGUCAAGCCUCGUCUCCUCCUUUUUAUGGCAGCAUCAGAAUGCUGACACAGAGUAUCUUGGCGCUCAGAUACUCAUCUGCUCAUUGUUUCUGAUGUUUGAAAUACGCCCCCUCCUUCUGGGCCAGUGGUGGGUUGCUACCGGUAUGCAGUAGUUUGCACGAACUGGUAGCACUGACGAUCAUCUGGUAGCGAACCGGUUCCUCCUAACGUUCAGAUUAGCCCACCUGCCUGCCUGGGCUCCUUUUUUACCUUUAUCUUCUCAGCUGAUUAGCACGGUAGAGUGGAUUGCUGCACGAAUCAGCUGUGCUCUCCCCAGUAAAAACGCGGAAGUGCAAAGUUUUUGCAAACUGCACCCGUGCAAAGCACGAAGCGCGCAAUCAGUGAACUGGUAGUAAAACCGGGAGGAACCCACCACUGUUCCAGGCUUCAGUGCCGUUCUCUUAUUAAAGUGCUUCAAUCCAGCAGUUUCACAUGAGAUUACCCACUUGAGAAUCAGGGGCCUUCUAUCCACUUUAAAGCGGCCAAGUGUUCCCAGGAAGAGAUGCAGCUGCUUUAAAGAGCUACGUUCCCAUUUCUGUGCCCUCUGAAGCCCCUUUUAAAGACUGAAUUCAGCCUUAAAGGAAAAAAUAGGUAAAAGAUGCUUCGAACUGCACCGAGGUGGACUGCAGCACUGCAGGCUACUUCAGCUGACUGCUAGCUGCAAUACGGCAGUUCAAAUCUCACCGGCUCAAGGUUGAUUCAGCCUUCCAUCCUUCCGAGGUGCGUAGCAUGAGGACCCAGAUUGUUGGGGGCCAUAGGCUGACUCUGUAAACCACUUAGAGAGGGCUGUAAAAAGCACUAUGAAGUGGUAUUUAAGUGCUAUUGUUAUUGUUAUAUAAAUUUAAUAAAUAAAGAAAUCAUACCAACGAUGCCUAUUGAA